GGUAGGCAUGUGCAGGAUUAAUCGUAGGUUGUCCGAAAGGACAGCAGCGCAUAUAGCGUGGGUUCCUACGACCUGAGGUCUGCCGUUUU
rnacentral:sRNA from 12 species